UACGUAGGGUGCGAGCGUUGUCCGGAAUUAUUGGGCGUAAAGAGCUCGUAGGCGGUCUGUCGCGUCGGUCGUGAAAACUUGGGGCUUAACCCUGAGCUUGCGGUCGAUACGGGCAUGACUGGAGUUCGGUAGGGGAGACUGGAAUUCCUGGUGUAGCGGUGAAAUGCGCAGAUAUCAGGAGGAACACCGGUGGCGAAGGCGGGUCUCUGGGAAGUAACUGACGCUGAGAAGCGAAAGCAUGGGUAGCAAACAGG
rnacentral:rRNA from 1 species